GAUCAUGGCUCAGGACGAACGCUGGCGGCGUGCCUAAUACAUGCAAGUAGAACGCUGAAGGAGGAGCUUGCUUCUCCGGAUGAGUUGCGAACGGGUGAGUAACGCGUAGGUAACCUGCCUGGUAGCGGGGGUAUAACUAUUGGAAACGAUAGCUAAAUACCGCAUAACAGUAGAUGUUGCAUGACAUUUGCUUAAAAGGUGCAAUUGCACCACUACCAGAUGGACCUGCGUUGUA
rnacentral:rRNA from 1 species